CUGGAGCACAGGGCUUGCUGUCCUCAGCCCUGCAGCAGCAGUGUUUCCUACUUUAUGGAUGAGUGUACUGUGGGCUUCGGAGACCACGCCACCGCCACCACCACCAUCUUCCUCGACUCUCGGGACCAUGUAUGACAGGUGAGCACCUCACGACUUUUGCCACCUGCCCAGACCCCUGAAAAGCUUCCACUGCCGCCACAGUGCUGCCCUUCCUGGUUCCGGUCCAUCCGGGAAAAGGCCACAGCAGCCCCUCUGCUGCCUGGAGCCUGGGGGUGCGGGGAGGGCUGGACACAUGGACUCCCGAUGCAGCAGCUGCAAGCAGAGGAGGAAGGCUGGCAAGGGAGGGUAGGUGGCGGGGAAUGGGUGGCGGUGCCAGGGACCCCAACACUAAUAAAGAAUGGACUCUG